rnacentral:tRNA from 1 species
UUAAUUGAAAUUAAUUUCUUUUACAAUGAAAUAAAGUCAUUACGACCAAUUAAU